GCACAAGCGGUGGAGCAUGUGUUUAAUUCGACGCAACGCGAAGAACCUUACCAGGGCUUGACAUCCCCUGACCGCGUAUGAAAGUACGUUUUCACCCUCGGGUGACAGGGAGACAGGUGGUGCAUGGUUGUCGUCAGCUCGUGUCGUGAGAUGUUGGGUUAAGUCCCGCAACGAGCGCAACCCCUACGUUUAGUUGCUAACAGGUGAAGCUGAGCACUCUAGACGAACUGCCGUUGACAAAACGGAGGAAGGUGGGGAUGACGUCAAAUCAUCAUGCCCCUUAUGUUCUGGGCUACACACGUGCUACAAUGGCCGGUACAGACGGAGGCGAAGCCGCGAGGCGGAGCAAAUCCGAAAAAGCCGGUCUCAGUUCGGAUUGCAGGCUGCAAUUCGCCUGCAUGAAGUCGGAAUCGCUAGUAAUCGCAGGUCAGCAUACUGCGGUCGAAUACGUUCCCGGGCCUU
rnacentral:rRNA from 1 species